CACAGGUGCUGCAUGGCUGUCGUCAGCUCGUGUCGUGAGAUGUUGGGUUAAGUCCCGCAACGAGCGCAACCCUUGUCAUUAGUUGCUACAUUCAGUUGGGUACUCUAAUGAGACUUGCCGGUGACAAAGCCGGAGGAAGGUGGGGAUGACGUCAAGUCCUCAUGGCCCUUAUAGGUGGGGCUACACACGUCAUACAAUGGCUGGUACAAAGGGUUGCCAACCCGCAGGGGGAGCCAAUCCCAUAAAGCCAGUCGUAGUCCGGAUCGUAGUCUGCAACUCGACUACGUGAAGUCGGAAUCGCUAGUAAUCGUGGAUCAGAAUGUCACGGUGAAUACGUUCCCGGGUCUU
rnacentral:rRNA from 1 species